ACAUUUUAACAUUUUAACAUUUUAACAUUUUAACAUUUUAACAUUUUAACAUUUUAACAUUUUAACAUUUUAACAUUUUAACAUUUUAACAUUUUAACAUUUUAACAUUUUAACAUUUUAACAUUUUAACAUUUUAACAUUUUAACAUUUUAACAUUUUAACAUUCUAACAUUUGGCAUUUUUACCAUUUUUACUCAUUAAAAAUGCAAACGAACGCAUCAUCACACUGAACCUGUGCAGCCGACGCUCAUGAAAAGAACGCACCAUGACACUGAACCAACGCAGCCGACCUUCAUGAAACAAACGAACCACGAUUGAGAGAGCUGUCAAAUUGUUUUACUCGCGCGUGUAUAAUCAUGUUCGUGUUGGCUGCUGCUCGGAACCGGAUUGUGUCGAAUAAAAUCGCGUGUGCCUGGGCAUUUGCCGCAUCCGCUGUUCCCUGUUUGCUGUUCUGGUUGUUGGAUGGAUAAAUCCGACUGAUCAACGGAUGGUGCUCUUCGCUGAUUUUUUUUUUAUUUUCUUCUACAGGGACUACUUUCGCCGUGUUUGUACUACUGAUACUCCCUGCCGCCGUCAAGGGUACGUUCCAGAUGGUGUUCUUUCCAGUUCCGCUAGAUGACCUACCCGGAAUGGCGACCUGGAGUUUUGUUGUGGAAGAACCAACAAAACACUAACGAAAUCAGCAAAUCAAUCCGGAUUCUCCAGUCGACAAAAAGGAACCGGUGGUCAGUUUGAACGCACCAUGACAUCACCAAUUCGAGAAGAAACAAGAAUCGGUCGCGAUUGAGAUCUUGAAAUGGAAUCGAAAGCGAAAGAAAGCGGCUUCGUUUUGGUGUUUGCAAAACUCUGGAGAGGGCAUUAUCAAUUAACAAUUGAAAA